rnacentral:lncRNA from 1 species
UUCUAUUUAAUUUGCUCGUGUCGGUUACUACUCGUACCUAUUAAACAACUUUACUUCUUUUAACUGUUUGACCAAUUUACAUGCCAUAACACGUCAUCUCCACAGGAGAGAUGAAUACAGAAAGUUGAGCCAACAAAUUUGAACAUCAAAGUAAAAGCAAGAUGAACAUUCUGCACAAAUUUAACUAAUGGAGUAGUAGUGUAAACAAAUCAAACAAUGGUGAGAAAUUCUGAAAUCCCAUCUAAAAUUAAAACAUCGCAACCAUAUAAUCAUAGGUAAUUAAUAGGAUGGUGAAGGAGCAGGGGGGAAACCCAAAAAGGGCCUUCGAACAGUUGGGGAGGAACAGAGAGCAUUAAGACAAUCAACAACAUGAAUACUGUCCUUCAAUUUGUGAAAUCCAUUCUUGAAUACACCAAAUCCGAACAAGAAACCGAUCGCAACCACAACUAGUACAACGCAUGUGCACAACAUGCAAAUUCUACCACCGCAACACAUUUUUUAACAAUAUAUGGAUCUGCUUUGGAAUUUAGGGUUUGAGAUUAUAUAGCAGCAAGCAGUUGAUCUGAGUGUAGGGUUGGACUUCUCUUUUCUAUCUCUCGCUUGGUUCUGCCUAGCGCUUACUCGACGCAUCGUUUCUGCUUUUUAAAGUAACCCAUCAUUCUUUUUUUUUU